UGGGGAAUAUUGCACAAUGGGCGCAAGCCUGAUGCAGCCAUGCCGCGUGUGUGAAGAAGGCCUUCGGGUUGUAAAGCACUUUCAGCGAGGAGGAAGGUGGUGAGCUUAAUACGCUCAUCAAUUGACGUUACUCGCAGAAGAAGCACCGGCUAACUCCGUGCCAGCAGCCGCGGUAAUACGGAGGGUGCAAGCGUUAAUCGGAAUUACUGGGCGUAAAGCGCACGCAGGCGGUUUGUUAAGUCAGAUGUGAAAUCCCCCGGGCUCAACCUGGGAACUGCAUUUGAAACUGGCAAGCUAGAGUCUCGUAGAGGGGGGUAGAAAUUCCAGGUGUAGCGGUGAAAUGCGUAGAGAUCUGGAGGAAUACCGGUGGCGAAGGCGGCCCCCUGGANGAAGACUUGACGCUCAGGUGCGAAAGCGUGGGGAGCAAACA
rnacentral:rRNA from 1 species